AAGACCCUAUUAUGCAGUUAAAAGCACUCACCGAUAAACUAGUAAAACAUCACUUAUUCCCAGGGGAGUGGAAACACAAGCAUUCAGGCCCCAGCUUGCCCCUGCCUGUUCGUGUAUAUUAAAACCCAUAAGGAACCAGCCAAACCUAGACCAAUAGUCGAAAAGAGAUCGGCUCCCAUGUACAACCUAGAAAAGAAGAUAACUAGAUGGAGCAUGGGAAUACUCGGCCAGAAUGACAAUUCAAUAACCGUAACUAGGAAUGGGGCACCCUCUACUUGUUGGUGCCGGGGCUGUGUGGGUGUGGUCCUCUCCAUAUCUCCUUUUGGCUUUCCUCAUAAUCUUUUCUAUGACUUCUUUGUUAUACCCAUAUUUGGAUUCUUGUGCAUAUAGGGAGGAGGAAUUGGCCUAUAUAUGUAUGUGCACAAGGAUUUAAAUAUGGG
rnacentral:lncRNA from 1 species